rnacentral:tRNA from 1 species
GGCGAGAUAGCCAAGUGGUAAGGCAUGGGUCUGCAACACCCUGAGCGCCGGUUCGAAUCCGACUCUCGCCU